rnacentral:rRNA from 1 species
GACGAACGCUGGCGGCGUGCUUAACACAUGCCAGUCGAACGGAAAGGCCCUGCUUUUGUGGGGUGCUCGAGUGGCGAACGGGUGAGUAACACGUGAGUAACCUGCCCUUGACUUUGGGAUAACUUCAGGAAACUGGGGCUAAUACCGGAUAGGAGCUCCUGCUGCAUGGUGGGGGUUGGAAAGUUUCGGCGGUUGGGGAUGGACUCGCGGCUUAUCAGCUUGUUGGUGGGGUAGUGGCUUACCAAGGCUUUGACGGGUAGCCGGCCUGAGAGGGUGACCGGCCACAUUGGGACGGAGAUACGGCCCAGACUCCUACGGGAGGCAGCAGUGGGGAAUAUUGCACAAUGGGCGGAAGCCUGAUGCAGCAACGCCGCGUGCGGGAUGACGGCCUUCGGGUUGUAAACCGCUUUCGCCUGUGACGAAGCGUGAGUGACGGUAAUGGGUAAAGAAGCACCGGCUAACUACGCG